GUCUCAGUUCGGACUGUGGUCUGCAACUCGACCACACGAAGCUGGAAUCGCUAGUAAUCGCGAAUCAGCAUGUCGCGGUGAAUACGUUCCCGGGUCUUGUACACACCGCCCGUCACACCAUGGGAGUCAGCAACGCCCGAAGUCAGUGACCUAACCGAGAGGAAGGAGCUGCCGAAGGCGGGGCAGGUAACUGGGGUGAAGUCGUAACAAGGUACC
rnacentral:rRNA from 1 species